rnacentral:rRNA from 1 species
AUGGCAAAAUUGGGACUCCAAGAGGAUGACUUGCAGGGCGUGAUCGUGGAAGAGGAUGAACUCCCGGAGGAGGCGACCCGCUGGAUGGCGAUAGCUAGGGUUCAUACCACUAAACCCUACAGCCAAUAUUGCUUCUUUCGGAACAUGAGGGUGGCAUGGGAUUUAGCCCAAGAGGUGAAGAUCAAACCACUUGAGGAAAACCUCUAUAAACUGCAGUUUUCGUGUCUUGGUGAUUGGGAG